rnacentral:rRNA from 1 species
AUUGAACGCUGGCGGCAUGCCUUACACAUGCAAGUCGAACGGCAGCACGGGAGCAAUCCUGGUGGCGAGUGGCGAACGGGUGAGUAAUAUAUCGGAACGUGCCCGGUCGUGGGGAUAACGUAGCGAAAGCUACGCUAAUACCGCAUACGAUCUACGGAUGAAAGCGGGGGAUCGCAAGACCUCGCGCGAUUGGAGCGGCCGAUAUCAGAUUAGGUAGUUGGUGAGGUAAAGGCUCACCAAGCCGACGAUCUGUAGCUGGUCUGAGAGGACGACCAGCCACACUGGGACUGAGACACGGCCCAGACUCCUACGGGAGGCAGCAGUGGGGAAUUUUGGGACAAUGGACGCAAGUCUGAUCCAGCCAUUCCGCGUGCAGGAUGAAGGCCCUCGGGUUGUAAACUGCUUUUGUACGGAACGAAAGGUUUCUAUUAAUACUAGGAGCUCAUGACGGUACCGUAAGAAUAAGCACGGCUAACUACGUGCCAG